CGCCAGGGGAUGCAAACCCUUCUGCCCCUUUUUGCUACCCCUGAAGCUUACUGUUAGUGGUCGAGUUUUUCUGGAAGUGGGCUUCCGCGAUCGCGGGGACCAACGCCCUGAGCUCUUGUGCCCAAAGGGGAUCGCCAGGUUUUUUGAUGCGGAUCGAAAGGGACUGGCCCCGGAGCCUACAACCUGACGCAGGUGGGACUUGGGGAAAUGUCGAGAAACCUAGGUCUGGGACUUGAGUUGGCUUCCAGGGCACACAUUCUUGUUCAGAAGAAACACAUUGCAAAAAUCGGGAGGUGACGGGCAGAUGAAGUGUCGGCGCUUCGCCUCGGGACUCCAGUGCAACCUAUGGGGCUUUUGGAAAUGAGGAAGUCGAUGACUCUGCAGGGACUCCUCUGACCCAGGAGCAGAUGGCGCUCGUCUGGGCACUCCCCAGGAGAAAAGGUGCAUCGGGAAGCAGCCUGGCUUGUGGAUGGUGGACAAGGUGGAGGAGAGAGAAUUCCUUGGCAGUAGCAUUAUGAACAAAUGCAGGGCUGAGAAACAGCAUGGUGGCCUUGACUAAGUUUAUGGCGACAGCAGAUGGAGUCUUGCUCUGUCGCCCAGGCUAGAGUGCAGUGGCGCGAUCUCAGCUCACUGAAACCUCUGCCUCCCGGGUUCAAGUGAUUCUCCUGCCUCCGC
rnacentral:lncRNA from 1 species